AGGUAAGUCGGUCGUGAAAGCCCCGUGCUCAACGCGGGGAGGCCAAGCGAUACUGCGUGACUUGAGGGCGGAAGAGGGGAGUGGAAUUCCCGGUGUACCGGUAAAACGCGCAGAUAUCGGGAGGAACACCAGUGGCGAAGCCGGCUCCCUGGACCGCACCUGACGCUCAGAGGCGAAAGCUAGGGGAGCGAACAGGAUGAGAGACCCUGGUAGUCCUAGCCCUAAACGCUGGAUGCUAGGUGUAGGGCUGAUGAGGCUCUGUGCCGGAGCGAACGCGAUAAGCAUCCCGCCUGGGAACUACGGCCGCAAGGCUAAAACUCAAACGAAGUGACGGGGACCCGCACAAGCAGCGGAGCGUGUGGUUUAAUUCGAUGCUACACGAAGAACCUUACCUGGGUUUGACAUGCUGGUGGUACCGAACCGAAAGGGGAGGGACCAUUAGGGGAGCCUACACAGGUGCUGCAUGGCCGUCGUCAGCUCGUGCCGUGAGGUGUCGGGUUAAGUCCCGUAACGAGCGCAACCGUUGAUCUUAGUUAUACGUGUCUAAGGGGACUGCCGGCGACAAGCCGGAGGAAGGUGGGGAUGACGUCAAGUCAGCAUGGCCUGGAUAUCCAGGGCUACACACACGCUACAAUGGCCGGUACAAAGGGCAGCCAAGCCGCGAGGUGGAGCGAAUCCCAGCAAAGCCGGUCCCAGUUCGGAUGGCAGGCUGCAACCCAGCCUGCAUGAAGUUGGAGUUGCUAGUAACCGCGCGUCAGCCAUAGUGCGGUGAUACGUACCCGG
rnacentral:rRNA from 1 species